UAUUCAACCAUCAAGUACUUAGACAUUAUUAACUGCAACCUGUUGGCAUUCCGGUGAGAACGAAUAGUUUGUAUUUAAGUUGAGCGUUUUGUCAUUUUCGCCUCCAUUACUGUACUGCAGUUCCAGGACAAUUCUUUUCAAUUCGCAUUCUACUUGAGGCAAUUGACCCCUAGAUUAGCUGACACUAUGAGUCAAGCGAUAAAAGACCGUCCGAAUCCCUGCGCGGUUUGCUAUUACCGUGCCUUGACGCCUCUCUGUUCUAUUGAUAAUCAUGUGGUUGCUCAUGUUAAAGACAACCUCAUGUAUUGCGUAUUUUGCGAGGCCUGUUUUGAUGAAAAGACGGCAUUUGCCAAUCAUCUGCUCCGAGUCCAUUUCCCAGACGCGAAAUCAGUGGAAAUUGAGAAAGAAUGAUUCCAAGAAAUGAUUCCAAGUUCAUCAUUCAUUUUGUAUUUCCCUUAAAUUUUCCUCAUGUACUAGACUGUUAAAACAGUUUAAAGUUCCUGUAUUUCAAAAUGUCAUUGUAAUUAAAACAUAUUUACACUA